rnacentral:rRNA from 1 species
AUUGAACGCUGGCGGCAGGCCUAACACAUGCAAGUCGAGCGGAUGAAGGGAGCUUGCUCCUGGAUUCAGCGGCGGACGGGUGAGUAAUGCCUAGGAAUCUGCCUGGUAGUGGGGUAUAACGUCCGGAAACGGGCGCUAAUACCGCAUACGUCCUGAGGGAGAAAGUGGGUGGUCUUCGGACCUCACGCUCUCAGAUGAGCCUAGGUCGGAUUAGCUAGUUGGUGGGGUAAAGGCCUACCAAGGCGACGAUCCGUAACUGGUCUGAGAGGAUGAUCAGUCACACUGGAACGGAGACACGGUCCAGACUCCUACGGGAGGCAGCAGUGGGGAAUAAUGCAAUGGGCGAAAGCCUGAUCCAGCCAUGCCGCGUGUGUGAAGAAGGUCUUCGGAUUGUAAAGCACUUUAAGUGGGGAGGAAGGGCAGUAAGUUAAGACCUUGCUGUUUUGACGGUACCAACAGAAUAAGCACCGGCUAACUUCGUG